rnacentral:tRNA from 1 species
GGUUGUGGCUCAGUGGUAGAGCACUUGCCUAGCAUGUGUAAGGCACUGGGUUCGAUUCUCAGCAUCG